AUUAUUCUUGCUUUAGUACUUCUUAUAGGAACAUGCACUUUUUUACUUUGGCAAGUAUUCUUAGCGUUUUUACGUGGCAACGAAAAAUUAAGCGAAUGUACGUGUGAAAUGGGCUGUUGUUGCAGCAGACAUAUCGACUUUAAAG